rnacentral:lncRNA from 1 species
GAAAAGGACAUUUAAGAUAUAAUUUUCAAAAGAUGACCCAGCAUGACCCAGCAAAUAGGUACCAAAACCCUAACCCUAACCCCGCAAAAAAAGGGAGAGGGGUCUGUCUGCAGCCUGCAAGAGAGGGGCGUAACCUGUAGUGGGCGUAACGUGUAGUGUGGGCGUAACGUGUAGUUGUGUAAAUCACGUUGAACCACGCGAGAUGUAGAAUGAGACCCGCCAAAAGCAAGAACAGAACAAGGAAAUACACAAGAGAUGUCUCCAAAACGAAAAAUGGCGAUCGUAUCCAGACUGUGACAGUCUACACCCUGGUUGAAAAGUACACAUUGACAGUGCCAGAGGCUGUGGCCAGGUUCAGAAGAGGCCCACAAUAUGAACCAUGUGAAUUGGAAAUGAUGCAAGCUGACUUGAUGAAACAUUUAUAAGAGGAGGCAACAGAGAAGCUACAAGCCUAUAAAGAUAGAAUGUGAAGAGCCCUCUCCUCUGAGGCAUAUCUUAGCCAGCUAUAAGGUGUAAUAUCUUCACAGAUUGACUUUUUUUUUUCUUUUGACUCCUCCAAGGAAAUGUGUCACAGCCCUACGGGGGCCUCUAACCAUUCUCUUCUGUUUAACUCAAAACUGUACUAAAUGGUGCAUUUGUUGGGGACUGUUUUCUGCGGUGGAGUAAUACACAGUGUGUGUUAGACUAGAGCAGUGCACACUUACAAACUGUAGAGUAUGUAUCAAAUGUGAGUAUGUGUGCAUACAUAUGUAUAAACUUAAAUUUUAUACAGGAUAUUGUAAUCGUUUUGUAAUGUAUAUGCAAUUGGUCUGUUUCAUUUCAUAGUUCCAUCAGCAUCAUUUGGCUCCAUAAAACUUGAGACAAAAUGCUGAAAGGCAUUACAGUGUGCAUCACUGCCUGAGUUGGAUGUAAAGAAAAAAAGAGCUAAUCCUUGCAUUUGAACAGCCAUGUUAUUAACUGUUUUAUAAGUGUCCAGUACAAGCAACCGUUCAUCAGGUACAGGUACAUGACAUUUAACUGUUGAUGCACUUUGUUAAAGUCAAAUCACACAACACUUAACAAGUAUUUCCUAACAGGAGAAGCAUUUAUAUUUACACAAGUCUAGGC